UCCGGAAGGGGAUAGCGUUGUUCGGAAUUACUGGGCGUAAAGCGCACGUAGGCGGAUUUGUAAGAUGGGGGUGAAAUCCCAGGGCUCAACCCGGGAACUGCCUUCAUGACUGCAAAUCUAGAGUAUGGGAGAGGUUAGCGGAAUUCCUAGUGUAGAGGUGAAAUUCGUAGAUAUUCGGAAGAACACCAGUGGCGAAGGCGGCUCACUGGUGCAUUACUGACGCUGAGGUGCGAAAGCGUGGGGAGAAAACAGG
rnacentral:rRNA from 1 species